CCUACGGGAGGCAGCAGUGGGGAAUAUUGGGCAAUGGGCGCAAGCCUGACCCAGCAACGCCGCGUGAAGGAAGAAGGCUUUCGGGUUGUAAACUUCUUUUGUCAGGGAAGAGUUGAAGACGGUACCUGACGAAUAAGCCACGGCUAACUACGUGCCAUCAGCCGCGGUAAUACGUAGGUGGCAAGCGUUGUCCGGAUUGACUGGGUGUAAAGGGCGUGUAGCCGGGUUGAAAAGUCAGAUGUGAAAUCCUGCGGCUUAACCGCAGAACUGCAAUUGAAACUGUUGAUCUUGAGUACUGGAGAGGCAGACGGAAUACCUAAUGUAGCGGUGAAAUGUGUAGAUAUUAGGAGGAACACCAGUGGCGAAGGCGGUCUGCUGGACAGAAACUGACGGUGAGGCGCGAAAGCGUGGGGAGCAAACAGGAUUAGAUACCCCGGUAGUC
rnacentral:rRNA from 1 species